rnacentral:rRNA from 1 species
GCUUAACACAUGCAAGUCGAGGGGCAGCAUGGUCUUAGCUUGCUAAGGCCGAUGGCGACCGGCGCACGGGUGAGUAACGCGUAUCCAACCUGCCUUACACUCUUGGACAGCCUUCUGAAAGGGAGAUUAAUACAAGAUGUUAUCAUGAGUAAGCAUUUUCGCAUGAUUAAAGGUUUACCGGUGUAAGAUGGGGAUGCGUUCCAUUAGAUAGUAGGCGGGGUAACGGCCCACCUAGUCUUCGAUGGAUAGGGGUUCUGAGAGGAAGGUCCCCCACAUUGGAACUGAGACACGGUCCAAACUCCUACGGGAGGCAGCAGUGAGGAAUAUUGGUCAAUGGACGAGAGUCUGAACCAGCCAAGUAGCGUGAAGGAUGAAGGUUCUAUGGAUUGUAAACUUCUUUUAUACGGGAAUAAACGGAUCCACGUGUGGAUUUUUGCAUGUACCGUAUGAAUAAGGAUCGGCUAACUCCGUGCCAGCAGCCGCGGUAAUACGGAGGAUCCGAGCGUUAUCCGGAUUUAUUGGGUUUAAAGGGAGCGUAGAUGGGUUGUUAAGUCAGUUGUGAAAGUUUGCGGCUCAACCGUAAAAUUGCAAUUGAUACUGGCAGUCUUGAGUACAGUUGAGGUAGGCGGAAUUCGUGGUGUAGCGGUGAAAUGCUUAGAUAUCACGAAGAACUCCGAUUGCGAAGGCAGCUUACUAACCUGUAACUGACAUUGAUGCUCGAAAGUGUGGGUAUCAAACAGGAUUAGAUACCCUGGUAGUCCACACGGUAAACGAUGAAUACUCGCUGUAGGCGAUAUACAGUUUGCGGCCAAGCGAAAGCAUUAAGUAUUCCACCUGGGGAGUACGCCGGCAACGGUGAAACUCAAAGGAAUUGACGGGGGCCCGCACAAGCGGAGGAACAUGUGGUUUAAUUCGAUGAUACGCGAGGAACCUUACCCGGGCUUAAAUUGCAACCGAAUAUGGCGGAAACGCUAUAGCUAGCAAUAGCGGUUGUGAAGGUGCUGCAUGGUUGUCGUCAGCUCGUGCCGUGAGGUGUCGGCUUAAGUGCCAUAACGAGCGCAACCCUUGCCGAUAGUUACUAACAGGUCAUGCUGAGGACUCUGUCGGGACUGCCAUCGUAAGAUGUGAGGAAGGUGGGGAUGACGUCAAAUCAGCACGGCCCUUACGUCCGGGGCUACACACGUGUUACAAUGGGGGGUACAGAGGGCUGCUACCACGCAAGUGGAUGCCAAUCCCAAAAACCUCUCUCAGUUCGGAUUGAAGUCUGCAACCCGACUUCAUGAAGCUGGAUUCGCUAGUAAUCGCGCAUCAGCCACGGCGCGGUGAAUACGUUCCCGGGCCUUGUACACACCGCCCGUCAAGCCAUGGGAGCCGGGGGUACCUGAAGUGCGUAACCGCAAGGAGCGCCCUAGGGUAAAACUGGUGACUGGGGCUAA